UCACUGGCUCUCCAAAUUCCAAGCUUGCGGUUCUUCUUAUAUCUGAUGUUUAUGGAUAUGAAGCUCCAAACUUGAGAUUUUUUGUCAAUUUAGGCUGUUGAAUUCCAUAACUAAGAAUGUGGGGAAGGAUGGUUCAAGCUGCCACUUAGAUAAGCCUUCUUGAAAUACAAUCUAUUUAAAUUAAAAAAAAAAAAAUUGUAAAGGAUGAUUCAUUUCAAGCUGACACUUACAUUGUUGUAUUCUCUCUUGGAAACUAAUGCCAGCUGCUUGUCUG